CUACGGGCGGCUGCAGUAAGGAAUAUUGCGCAAUGGAGGCAACUCUGACGCAGCCAUGCCGCGUGCAGGAAGAAGGCCUUAUGGGUCGUAAACUGCUUUUAUUUAGGAAUAACCCCCUGCUCGUGAGCAGGGCUGAAGGUACUAAAAGAAUAAGCACCGGCUAACUCCGUGCCAGCAGCCGCGGUAAUACGGAGGGUGCAAGCGUUAUCCGGAUUUAUUGGGUUUAAAGGGUGCGCAGGCGGGCUAUUAAGUCAGUGGUGAAAUCCCGGGGCUCAACUCCGGAACUGCCGUUGAUACUGAUAGUCUUGAGUUUGGUUGAAGUGGGCGGAAUGUAGCAUGUAGCGGUGAAAUGCAUAGAUAUGCUACAGAACACCAAUCGCGAAGGCAGCUCACUAAGCCAAAACUGACGCUCAUGCACGAAAGCGUGGGGAGCAAACAGGAUUAGAUACCCGAGUAGUC
rnacentral:rRNA from 1 species